rnacentral:rRNA from 1 species
CUUACCAAGGCUACGAUGGGUAGGGGUCCUGAGAGGGAGAUCCCCCACACUGGUACUGAGACACGGACCAGACUCCUACGGGAGGCAGCAGUGAGGAAUAUUGGACAAUGGGCGCAAGCCUGAUCCAGCCUUGCCGCGUGCAGGAUGACGGUCCUAUGGAUUGUAAACUGCUUUUAUACGAGAAGAAACACUCCUACGUGUAGGAGCUUGACGGUAUCGUAGGAAUAAGGAUCGGCUAACUCCGUGCCAGCAGCCGCGGUAAUACGGAGGAUCCAAGCGUUAUCCGGAAUCAUUGGGUUUAAAGGGUCCGUAGGCGGUUUAAUAAGUCAGUGGUGAAAGCCCAUCGCUCAACGGUGGAACGGCCAUUGAUACUGUUAAACUUGAAUUAUUAGGAAGUAACUAGAAUAUGUAGUGUAGCGGUGAAAUGCUUAGAGAUUACAUGGAAUACCAAUUGCGAAGGCAGGUUACUACUAAUUGAUUGACGCUGAUGGACGAAAGCGUGGGUAGCGAACAGGAUUAGAUACCCUGGUAGUCCACGCCGUAAACGAUGGAUACUAGCUGUUGGGAGCAAUCUCAGUGGCUAAGCGAAAGUGAUAAGUAUCCCACCUGGGGAGUACGUUCGCAAGAAUGAAACUCAAAGGAAUUGACGGGGGCCCGCACAAGCGGUGGAGCAUGUGGUUUAAUUCGAUGAUACGCGAGGAACCUUACCAAGGCUUAAAUGUAGAUUGACCGAUUUGGAAACAGAUCUUUCGCAAGACAAUUUACAAGGUGCUGCAUGGUUGUCGUCAGCUCGUGCCGUGAGGUGUCAGGUUAAGUCCUAUAACGAGCGCAACCCCUGUUGUUAGUUGCCAGCGAGUCAAGUCGGGAACUCUAACAGGACUGCCAGUGCAAACUGUGAGGAAGGUGGGGAUGACGUCAAAUCAUCACGGCCCUUACGCCUUGGGCUACACACGUGCUACAAUGGCCGGUACAGAGAGCAGCCACUGGGCGACCAGGAGCGAAUCUAUAAAACCGGUCACAGUUCGGAUCGGAGUCCGCAACUCGACUCCGUGAAGCUGGAAUCGCUAGUAAUCGGAUAUCAGCCAUGAUCCGGUGAAUACGUUCCCGGGCCUUGUACACACCGCCCGUCAAGCCAUGGAAGCUGGGGGUGCCUGAAGUCGGUGACCGCAAGGAGCUGCCUAGGGUAAAACUGGUAACUAGGGCUAAGUCGUAACAAGGUA